CCCGCAGUUUAGGGGGGAUGUCGGAGUUCAGGAAGAGCUUGCUGAUAAUGGCAGCUUUCCUUUUGAGAAAGGCGACUUCCUUUUCUGAGCGCAUGUCACGGGCUGCCAAAGCUUCGGCCGAAUCAGCCAGCCUGGAAAACCUGCAAAAGCACACCUGCAGGUCUUGCUCUGAGACAAGUGCCUUGAUACUAGGCAGGCUUGUUCCUGCUUGGCUACGUAUUUACUGGGCCACAAAAAAAAAAAAAAAAAAAAAAAAAAUCUAAGUGGUGUGGGACAGUUAAACAGGGUGGGUAACCACCAGCAGGCUCACUGUAGGCAGUGAACAGGCUUUGGUCAUCUCAUGCUGCAGUGUGGUGUCCAGAUCCCAGCCUGGCACAGAGGUGCUGAGGGGGUUUUGGGGUGGCAGAAGAGCCACCGGUGUGUGAAGAAGCUGUGGGUGGCUUUGUCCCUUACUGAGGGAAGGCUUUGUCCCUUACCGAGGGAUGGGCACCACCCUCAGGGAGGGCCUGGGCCUGGGCCUGAGCCAAGGCAGACUGCUGGCACCUGAGUGCCCGAGGAAAGGCCACUUACUUGUCGAUCUCCAGAUAAAAGCGGAGGUCAUCGACGAGGAAGUUGACGGUAAUGAGCUGGUUGUUAAAGAGCUGGCGUUUCACCAGAGCCACGUCCUUGUCCUGCAGGGAGCUGCUGGAGACGGCAUGGGAGCGUAACAUGCUCACGGUGCUGCUGCUGUGCACCGAGGUGGCGGGCAGGUCUGGGAGAGGGGAUGAGAUGUUUGGGUCCUGCUUCUCCCAGCGCUGGUUUUGAGGCCGGCUGGGCAUCUGAUGCUGAACUAUACCUGGUUCCCUCCCCUAACCUUUGCUUGCUUUUCUUGCGUGAGAGGAAUUUGCUUGAGGGCCUUUCAACCUAUGUGGACUACAGCCUUCCUGCAGCCUGUAGGGCUCCCCAGGGAAUUCAGAUCCACCCAGUGUGCUUUUCCCUUAGGUCACUGACCUCCUCCACCCAUCUAUCCUCCUCCUUGCAGUCACGGAGUGCUUUUGUUCAUUGUUUUCAUAGGGGAUGGCCACAGUAGGUUAGGUCAAAGUCUGCCUAGCUGUUAUCCUGUCUCCGACAGAGGCCAGAAGUGGAUUACAAGGGAGAAAGAAAGAAAGCUCUCGAACUCCAUGCGGCACUUGUCAUUGUUCAUCUCCCGAUGGAACUUGCAGAUGCUCUUGACGAUGUCGUGGACGGCAAACCAGGCCCACCUCUGCAGAGAUGCAGCACAGCCUGGCUCAGCUGGUGGCACAGUCCUGGGCAGCCAGCCCCUGGCUGUGGGCUUUGCUCCCAGACAGAGACCUGCUGGAGCACCAGAGCCCAGGCUUGGCCGUGGGAUUCAUCAUCUUUGCUUUUUAUUUUUUGGCAUUUCUGUGUUUUCCUGGGGUGGUAGUGUGAAUUGCUUAGUCACUCCUGACUAAAUCUGGUGAAUUCUGCAUGGAGCAGGACUCCAGACCUUGUAAGAACAAGGCUUUAUCUUGUUUGCUUUUUGCAAUCCUCCAGGAGUGCCCCAAUUCUGACCCCCUUCGCCCCAUUUAUUUAAGCACCUCUUGACCCACAGUAUCUCCCCUCUUUCUUUCCUAGACAACACCCCAGCCUGCCAGCAGGGAGGCUCUUUCCUUACCAGGCUGUCUGUCGUGAAGUUCCCCAUCCCAUGCCGCAAACGAAGACCUGGGCUGUCAUCAACAUGAAGGGUGUGACUACUUCAGCAUCCCUGAUUUCUUUGAUGAUAGAAGAGUGGCAGUCCAGCUGUUCCUCUGGAAGAGACACAUGGUCAUUACCUGCUGCUAGCAGCCAUCCCUGAGCCACCAUGACAGCUCUUCCUACACUCGCAUCUGCAAGUGGCACCCUGUCCCGUCUCUGCCUGCCCCAGAAUCUGGUACUCAUCUCUUUUCCUUUCUAUGCUGUGCUAAUUGCAUAUUUUGGGAGUGAAACUGGUACUCCAAGAGCAUUUGAAGGAGAUGAGGUAGGGAAGGGCUAUUUCUGCCACCGCAGGAACUGCAGGUUGCAGGUCUUGGCCAGGAGAUCCUGCCACAGAAGUAGAGCACCUUCCUAGAAAUACGUGGCGGUGGAAGACCUCAGCAAACACUGGGCAGGGAAAGGAGGAUUGGCAAGUCCCUGCAAGAGGAUCUAAAAUCUGCAACCAGGUCAGGGAAAAGAAGCCUUCAUCAUGGCCGGAGUAAAGUGCAGGGUGGGAGGGUGCCUACCAGCUGGGAUGUCACCGUGGAAAUAAUUUCUGACGAUGCUGCUAAUGAGGGCGCUCUUCAUCUUGGCAUUGGGCUCUGCGACUAGCUUCUCCAUGGCCAUCCAGAAACGCAGAGGUUCAUCUGCGUUGCGCUCCUCGAGGAACUGCCUGAAGUAGUGCAGGUGGGCAGGGUUGUGCAGCACCUUCACAAAGUGCCUGCAGCGGAGGAGACACCAGGAGAUGUGACCUCUGUGCUGCCUCCCACCUGGAAAAUAGCCUGCUUCUCCAACCAGAGGCACCUAAAGAGCUGGAAACACACGGGUCAGUGGUGCCGGGGGGGCUGUGAAGCAGAUGGGCCAGGAAAGAACUUGGUCUCAGCCUGAAGAG